AAAAUUAUAAUCAACAAGAAUGUGUCCAAAGUACACGGAUGCCCCACUCGCACUAUCAUUUUCCAUGUUUUAUGGACUUUGAAAUUGGGUAAAUAUCUAAUUUGGCAUUAAGAUUAGAAAGAUUAUACUAUAGGGAACAUGUGUACUAAGUUUCAAGUUGAUUGGACUUCAAUUUCAUCAAAAACUACCUUGACCAAAAACUUUAACCUGAAGCGGGACGAACGAACGGACGGACGGACGGACGGACGAACGAACGAACGAACGAACGAACGGAGCCACAGACCAGAAAACAUAAUGCCCUCU
rnacentral:lncRNA from 1 species